rnacentral:rRNA from 1 species
GACGAACGCUGGCGGCGUGCUUAACACAUGCAAGUCGAACGGAAAGGCCCUGCUUUUGUGGGGUGCUCGAGUGGCGAACGGGUGAGUAACACGUGAGUAACCUGCCCUUGACUUUGGGAUAACUUCAGGAAACUGGGGCUAAUACCGGAUAGGAGCUCCUGCUGCAUGGUGGGGGUUGGAAAGUUUCGGCGGUUGGGGAUGGACUCGCGGCUUAUCAGCUUGUUGGUGGGGUAGUGGCUUACCAAGGCUUUGACGGGUAGCCGGCCUGAGAGGGUGACCGGCCACAUUGGGACUGAGAUACGGCCCAGACUCCUACGGGAGGCAGCAGUGGGGAAUAUUGCACAAUGGGCGGAAGCCUGAUGCAGCAACGCCGCGUGCGGGAUGACGGCCUUCGGGUUGUAAACCGCUUUCGCCUGUGACGAAGCGUGAGUGACGGUAAUGGGUAAAGAAGCACCGGCUAACUACGUGCCAGCAGCCGCGGUGAUACGUAGGGUGCGAGCGUUGUCCGGAUUUAUUGGGCGUAAAGGGCUCGUAGGUGGUUGAUCGCGUCGGAAGUGUAAUCUUGGGGCUUAACCCUGAGCGUGCUUUCGAUACGGGUUGACUUGAGGAAGGUAGGGGAGAAUGGAAUUCCUGGUGGAGCGGUGGAAUGCGCAGAUAUCAGGAGGAACACCAGUGGCGAAGGCGGUUCUCUGGGCCUUUCCUGACGCUGAGGAGCGAAAGCGUGGGGAGCGAACAGGCUUAGAUACCCUGGUAGUCCACGCUGUAAACGGUGGGUACUAGGUGUGGGGUCCAUUCCACGGGUUCCGUGCCGUAGCUAACGCUUUAAGUACCCCGCCUGGGGAGUACGGCCGCAAGGCUAAAACUCAAAGGAAUUGACGGGGCCCCGCACAAGCGGCGGAGCAUGCGGAUUAAUUCGAUGCAACGCGUAGAACCUUACCUGGGUUUGACAUGGAUCGGGAGCGCUCAGAGAUGGGUGUGCCUCUUUUGGGGUCGGUUCACAGGUGGUGCAUGGCUGUCGUCAGCUCGUGUCGUGAGAUGUUGGGUUAAGUCCCGCAACGGGCGCAACCCUUGUUCACUGUUGCCAGCACGUUAUGGUGGGGACUCAGUGGAGACCGCCGGGGUCAACUCGGAGGAAGGUGGGGAUGACGUCAAGUCAUCAUGCCCCUUAUGUCCAGGGCUUCACGCAUGCUACAAUGGCUGGUACAGAGAGUGGCGAGCCUGUGAGGGUGAGCGAAUCUCGGAAAGCCGGUCUCAGUUCGGAUUGGGGUCUGCAACUCGACCUCAUGAAGUCGGAGUCGCUAGUAAUCGCAGAUCAGCAACGCUGCGGUGAAUACGUUCCCGGG